rnacentral:rRNA from 1 species
AGUGAACGCUGGCGGCAGGCCUAACACAUGCAAGUCGAACGGUAACAGGGUUCAGCUUGCUGCUUCGCUGACGAGUGUCGGACGGGGGAGAGAUGUCUGGGAAACUGUCCGAUGGCGGGGGAUAACUAGUGGAAACGGUAACUAUAACAGCACAACCUCCCUAGGCCAAAGAGCGGGACCUUUUGGCCCCUUGCCCUCGUGUGUGCGCCGAUGUGGGAUUAGCUAGUGGGGGGGGUAAAGGCACACCAAGGCGACGAUCCGUAGCUGGUCUGAGAGGAUGAUCAGCCACACUGGAACUGAGACACGGUCCAGACUCCUACGGGAGGCAGCAGUGGGGAAUAUUGGACAAUGGGCGCAAGCCUGAUGCAGCCAUGCCGCGUGUAUGAAGAAGGCCUUCGGGUUGUAAAGUACUUUUAGCGGGGAGGAAGGGAGUAAAGUUAAUACCUUUGCGCAUUGACGGUACCCGAAGAAGAAGCACCGGCUAACUCCGUG